AUGGAGUCGAGCAGGGGUCUAGGGAAGAAAGAAGUAGCGUUGGAGCAGGGAAGAGAAGUAGAAGGAGGACGGGUCGGAGAAACAAGCGGGGCGACGGAGGCUAGGGGAGAUGAUGCGAGGGAGCAAGCAGGCAAUAUGGGGGCAGGAGUCGAUGAUGUUGAUCUGGAUGGUGAGGACCAUUGGGAACCCUACGGCCCGGAGGCGGAUCUAGAGGAUCAAUUUGCAGGUAUGCAGCUUCAUGGGGAGGAGGAAGACGACCUGGAUCUCUCCGGGGAGGUAGAUGAUCUGAUCAAGGGAGUCUGUUGGCUAGGGCUCUUCCGUGUGCAUACAACGAAGCCGUUCAGUCAUGCAGCCCUCCUGCGUCAGAUGAGGAACACCUGGGCAUCUGUGCAAGGGGUGACUUCCAAUGUUAAGGGCCCUAACCUCUUCCUAGUGCAAUGUCACUACCUGGGUGACUGGAAGAGGGUCAUGGAGGGGGGUCAGUGGAUCUUUCGCAACUCAGCACCUAUUAUCAUACAAGAGUACGAUGGGUUCACUGAUGUGUCUGAGUAUAAGUUGAACAAGAUACCAGUGUGGGCGAGGAUUAAGGGUCUGCCAGAUGGUUUAACAGCUAAGAAAGAGCUAGCAGAGAAGGUGGCCGCAAAGGUGGGGGAGCCACCCUUCACCGUCAUUGUCAAUGAAGAAAAAAUCAAUCCAGGCAGCACUUUGAGGGUCAGGGUCUAUGUUGAUGUGAAUAAACCUUUGGUCCGGUUUGUGCCAAUAACACUUAAGGGGAGCAAAAAAUACCCGGUGUUCUAUGAAAAGUUGCAUGUGUUUUGUUACUUUUGUGGCUUGUUGGGGCAUUCAGUGGAGGAGUGUGGUGAUGGGAUUCACAACCCUACAACGUGUGAAUGGGGGGAGUGGCUGUUGUGGAGCAAUGAUGCGCCUAGGUAUGUGGAGUUUGGGAGAGGAAGCACGGAUGAAGGAGGCAGAGGAGGUAGGACUGGUGGAAGAGGUAUGAGGGGAGGUAGACAAGGUAGAGGAGGACCGGGGGAUGGUAGAUAUGGAGAGGAAGGGCGCAUAUAUGGAGCUAAUGCAGUUAACCCUUAUGCUAAUCAACACAUGCAGGAGAAUGACAGGACUGCUAGAAAGCGUCUUGUGUCGCAGGAUGGCAUUGUCAAUGUGCGUGGCCAGGAACUACCACACUUGUCGGGGAAAGUGGCAGAUGUUGUUUUACUUUUGGAGGGUGGGGCGGUGAGUGACGGUGGGGGGCGUCGGUUUCCACACCGGAGAAAGUCCAGGUGGUGA
rnacentral:rRNA from 1 species